rnacentral:tRNA from 2 species
GAAGUAUGGUGAUCAAGUAAAAGCUGCUAACUUUUUUCUUUUAAUGGUUAAAAUCCAUUUAUACUUCU